AGCGAACGCUGGCGGCAGGCUUAACACAUGCAAGUCGAGCGCGCAUCCUUGUGGUGUCAGCGGCAGACGGGUGAGUAACGCGUGGGAACGUGCCCUUCGGUUCGGAAUAACUCAGGGAAACUUGAGCUAAUACCGGAUACGUGCGAGAGCAGAAAGGUUUAUCUGCCGAAGGAUCGGCCCGCGUCUGAUUAGCUAGUUGGUGAGGUUACGGCUCACCAAGGCGACGAUCAGUAGCUGGUCUGAGAGGAUGAUCAGCCACACUGGGACUGAGACACGGCCCAGACUCCUACGGGAGGCAGCAGUGGGGAAUAUUGGACAAUGGGGGCAACCCUGAUCCAGCCAUGCCGCGUGAGUGAUGACGGCCUUAGGGUUGUAAAGCUCUUUUCUCCGGGACGAUAAUGACGGUACCGGAGGAAUAAGCCCCGGCUAACUUCGUG
rnacentral:rRNA from 1 species